GCAUUGGUGGUUCAGUGGUAGAAUUCUCGCCUUCCAUGUGGGAGAUCCAGGUUUGAUUCCCAGCCAUUGCA
rnacentral:tRNA from 1 species